GAUGAACGCUGGCGGCGUGCCUAAUACAUGCAAGCCGAGCGAACGGACGAGAAGCUUGCUUCUCUGAUGUUAGCGGCGGACGGGUGAGUAACACGUGGAUAACCUACCUAUAAGACUGGGAUAACUUCGGGAAACCGGAGCUAAUACCGGAUAAUAUUUUGAACCGCAUGGUUCAAAAGUGAAAGACGGUCUUGCUGUCACUUAUAGAUGGAUCCGCGCUGCAUUAGCUAGUUGGUAAGGUAACGGCUUACCAAGGCAACGAUGCGUAGCCGACCUGAGAGGGUGAUCGGCCACACUGGAACUGAGACACGGUCCAGACUCCUACGGGAGGCAGCAGUAGGGAAUCUUCCGCAAUGGGCGAAAGCCUGACGGAGCAACGCCGCGUGAGUGAUGAAGGUCUUCGGAUCGUAAAACUCUGUUAUUAGGGAAGAACAUAUGUGUAAGUAACUGUGCACAUCUUGACGGUACCUAAUCAGAAAGCCACGGCUAACUACGUGCCAGCAGCCGCGGUAAUACGUAGGUGGCAAGCGUUAUCCGGAAUUAUUGGGCGUAAAGCGCGCGUAGGCGGUUUUUUAAGUCUGAUGUGAAAGCCCACGGCUCAACCGUGGAGGGUCAUUGGAAACUGGAAAACUUGAGUGCAGAAGAGGAAAGUGGAAUUCCAUGUGUAGCGGGUGAAAUGCGCAGAGAUAUGGAGGAACACCAGUGGCGAAGGCGACUUUCUGGUCUGUAACUGACGCUGAUGUGCGAAAGCGUGGGGAUCAAACAGGAUUAGAUACCCUGGUAGUCCACGCCGUAAACGAUGAGUGCUAAGUGUUAGGGGGUUUCCGCCCCUUAGUGCUGCAGCUAACGCAUUAAGCACUCCGCCUGGGGAGUACGACCGCAAGGUUGAAACUCAAAGGAAUUGACGGGGACCCGCACAAGCGGUGGAGCAUGUGGUUUAAUUCGAAGCAACGCGAAGAACCUUACCAAAUCUUGACAUCCUUUGACAACUCUAGAGAUAGAGCUUUCCCCUUCGGGGGACAAAGUGACAGGUGGUGCAUGGUUGUCGUCAGCUCGUGUCGUGAGAUGUUGGGUUAAGUCCCGCAACGAGCGCAACCCUUAAGCUUAGUUGCCAUCAUUAAGUUGGGCACUCUAAGUUGACUGCCGGUGACAAACCGGAGGAAGGUGGGGAUGACGUCAAAUCCUCAUGCCCCUUAUGAUUUGGGCUACACACGUGCUACAAUGGACAAUACAAAGGGCAGCGAAACCGUGAGGUCAAGCAAAUCCCAUAAAGUUGUUCUCAGUUCGGAUUGUAGUCUGCAACUCGACUACAUGAAGCUGGAAUCGCUAGUAAUCGUAGAUCAGCAUGCUACGGUGAAUACGUUCCCGGGUCU
rnacentral:rRNA from 1 species